rnacentral:rRNA from 1 species
UACGUAGGGGGCGAGCGUUGUCCGAAUUUACUGGGCGUAAAGCGCGCGUAGGCGGGCUCUUAAGUUGGGGGUGAAAUCCCGAGGCUCAACCUCGGAACUGCCUCCAAAACUGGGUGCCUUGAGGUAUGGAGAGGGAAGUGGAAUUCCAGGUGUAGCGGUGAAAUGCGUAGAUAUCUGGAGGAACACCCGUGGCGAAGGCGGCUUGCCUGGUCAUAUCCUGACGCUGAGGUGCGAAAGCUGAGGGGAGCGAACGGGG